UUUCCGUAGGUGAACCUGCGGAAGGAUCAUUCAUAAUAAGUGUUUUAUGGCACUUUUUUAAAUCCAUAUCCAUCUUGUGUGCAAUGUCAGGGUUGAUUUUUCUCUCGAGAGGAUCAACCCCAAACAUCAACUAUAUCUUAACUCUUUGUCUGAAAAAUAUUAUGAAUAAAACAAUUCAAAAUACAACUUUCAACAACGGAUCUCUUGGCUCUC
rnacentral:misc_RNA from 1 species